AGUUUAGAACUUUCUGUACCUGCGAACUUUUCGGCAAUGUUGGAAAAACUGCGUUCAGGAUACAAGGCUCGCUGCGCUGCUGUGUGACGUGGGAGCUCGGGUAGCAACACGAGGGCGACAUGUUUCUGUUUCCCAGCGGACGUGAGGUUCCACACCGCCGCAGCGAGGCCAAAAGCGGGAAACGUACUCACCAGAGAUGGCAGGCGUCAUCAACCGACAGAAAGAUGAUACACAAAGGUAUCGCAAAACUGCGACAUUUUUUUCUACACCUUCGCCGCUGCGCGCCGCUGCGCUACAUGCCCGGAGGCGAGCGCCAUCUGGAUGGAGUUGUUGCAACGAACCGAGCGUAGUGCGUCGCUCAACGAACGGUGAAACGCUGAAAAAGGGGUUUGUGUUUGAGUUAACGCGUACCAGAAUUAGGAUUUCUCGCAUAUUACAUAUACAGACGAAUGCUACAUGACGGUGCCUUGGGAUUAAGUCGUACUUUACGAUACUUCUGAGGCAUUUUACUUGGAGAAAUUCAAUUAGUUUAGUGAAAC